rnacentral:rRNA from 1 species
AGUAACGGCGAGUGAAGCGGCAACAGCUCAAAUUUGAAAUCUGGCCCUUGUGGUCCGAGUUGUAAUUUGUAGAGGAUGCUUUUGGUGAGGUACCUUCCGAGUUCCCUGGAACGGGACGCCAUAGAGGGUGAGAGCCCCGUCUGGUUGGAUACCAAUCCUCUGUAAAGCUCCUUCGACGAGUCGAGUAGUUUGGGAAUGCUGCUCAAAAUGGGAGGUAUAUGUCUUCUAAAGCUAAAUAUAGGCCAGAGACCGAUAGCGCACAAGUAGAGUGAUCGAAAGAUGAAAAGCACUUUGAAAAGAGGGUUAAAUAGUACGUGAAAUUGUUGAAAGGGAAGCGUUUGUGACCAGACUUGGGCUUGGUUAAUCAUCCGGCGUUCUCGCCGGUGCACUUUGCCAGCCCAGGCCAGCAUCAGUUCGCUGCGGGGGAAAAAGGCUUCGGGAACGUAGCUCCUCGGAGUGUUAUAGCCCGUUGUGUAAUACCCUGUGGUGGACUGAGGUUCGCGCAUCUGCAAGGAUGCUGGCGUAAUGGUCAUCAACGACCCGUCUUGAAACACGGACCAAGGAGUCGUCUUCGUAUGCGAGUGUUCGGGUGUCAAACCCCUACGCGUAAUGAAAGUGAACGGAGGUGGGAGCCUCGGCGCACCAUCGACCGAUCCUGAUGUUUUCGGAUGGAUUUGAGUAAGAGCAUACGGGGCCGGACCCGAAAGAAGGUGAACUAUGCCUGUAUAGGGUGAAGCCAGAGGAAACUCUGGUGGAGGCUCGCAGCGGUUCUGACGUGCAAAUCGAUCGUCAAAUAUGGGCAUGGGGGCGAAAGACUAAUCGAACCUUCUAGUAGCUGGUUUCCGCGA